AAGCAUAUAACUAACCGAAGGAAAAGAAACUAACUAGGAUUCCCUCAGUAAGGGCGACUGAAGCGGGAAGAGAUCACCUUGUGAAUCUGUACAGGCCAGUCCUGUGCCGAGUUGUGGUGUGAAGUAGCAUUUUCUGUCAGCACUCUGGCUUAAGUUCCUUGGAAAAGGACAGCUGAGAGGGUGAGACUCCCGUUCUUGGCUAGAGUGUUUGACUUUAGCAGGUGCCUACUACGAGUCGAGUUGCUUGGGAUUGCAGCUCAAAGUGGGAUGUAAAUUCAUUCUAAAUCUAAAUAUUGGUAGGAGACCGAUAGCGUACAAGUACCGUGAGGGAAAGAUGCAAAGAACUUUGAAAAGAGAGUUAAAGAGUACCUGAAAUUGCUGAAAGGGAAGCGAAGGAAACCAGUGCUUGGCUUUACUAUUUUUCUCCUACUUCUUGAAGUUGGGGCGCUGUGGUAUUGCUAAUGCCAGCAUGGGCUAGGCUUGGGAUAAAUGGAUUGGUAGGAGGUGAGCACUUUUGUGCUGAAGACUAUCUUUCUUUAUUCUGGGCCUGGUCGA
rnacentral:rRNA from 1 species